rnacentral:rRNA from 1 species
GGCGAACGGGUGAGUAGCGCAUCGGAACGUGCCCAGUAGUGGGGGAUAGCUCGGCGAAAGCCGGAUUAAUACCGCAUACGACCCAUGGGUGAAAGCGGGGGACCGCAAGGCCUCGCGCUAUUGGAGCGGCCGAUGCCCGAUUAGCUAGUCGGUGAGGUAAAGGCUCACCAAGGCAACGAUCGGUAGCUGGUCUGAGAGGACGACCAGCCACACUGGGACUGAGACACGGCCCAGACUCCUACGGGAGGCAGCAGUGGGGAAUUUUGGACAAUGGGGGAAACCCUGAUCCAGCCAUGCCGCGUGCGGGAAGAAGGCCUUCGGGUUGUAAACCGCUUUUGGCAGGAACGAAACGGCGCGCGCUAAUACCACGCGCUAAUGACGGUACCUGCAGAAUAAGCACCGGCUAACUACGUGCCAGCAGCCGCGGUAAUACGUAGGGUGCAAGCGUUAAUCGGAAUUACUGGGCGUAAAGCGUACGCAGGCGGCUGUGCAAGACAGGUGUGAAAUCCCCGGGCCCAACCU